rnacentral:lncRNA from 1 species
UGGCCAAUGAGAGGGAAGCGGCAUCUGAGGAGAUUCUGGGAAAGUUUUCUGAUUUUAAUUAUAGACACCUGAAGGGAAUGAUCUCCUUUCCUACUUCUGAGCAUUGUUACCUACAUGUGAAUCUUGGAACUGCUGCAGUCUUAAUGAUACCUAAGAUACCAGCCUUGAGUGUGUCUUCAUUGAUUCUCGCCACACUUUCUGGAAUAGGAAGAACACAUGUGAUAAUUGUUGAUGAGUACACUGAUGGAUAGAACAUUGUAUAUUUCUCUAGGUCCUAUAAUCUGAUCACAACUUAUUGACUCCAAGCAGCAUAAUAUCACCAGUGUGAUGUGCCACAGGUCCUCACGAACUAAAUUAUGAUGUUGGGCUGGAGAGUUGUUAUACCCCUGACGUAAGACAGUGAAGGUGUAUUGCUGGCCUUGUCUGCUGGAAUCUAACUGCUCCUGGUGGUAUUUACUAACAGGACAUAACAAAGUCUCUUUUGGUUCUUGAGCAUUGUGUGAAGAUGUUAUUUUUGAAACUGCUGCAGCCAUCACGUAACUAAGAGGGAGUGAGACUUCACGGGUGGAAAGAACCUGGAUCCUUGAUGACACAGUUGAUUCAUUGAAUCAACCACCCAUCAAAAGCCCAAUCCCUACACUUGGUAUUGUAUAAAAUUAUAAGUAUUCUUACUGUUUAAGCGACUUUGAUUUGAGACUUCUGUUACUUGUAUUAGACUAUUUUAACUGAUACAAAUAUUGUCAGGAUUUGACAGGAAAUGUUUGAGUCAAUACGUCUUAGUGCAUGAGAAAAUCCUCUGGCAUCAUAUACUUUCGCGUGAUAUAUUGUUAUGAAGCAAGCUUGUGGUAGUGCCAGAACUAGAAUCCAGAUAAUCCUGAUUCCAAGUUCAUUCUCUCCUCGGCAUUACUCAAUGCAUGAAUAUCCAAAAUAUCCCUUAUUGUUCUGAUAUCAAGGGUCUAUUAUCCAUAUGUGCUUGCCUUCAAUUCUUACCUAAAAGAUGACUUGAAAUUAUUUUUUUAAUAUUUUCCUGACUAGUAACUAGUGGCUUCUAGAAAUGACGUUGUCUUAUU